GAGUUAAUCUGCAAGGAAAAGUAGUAUACCCUGCUUAUGCUGCUCUGAGGUAAAACAAAAAAAAAAAAAAUUCUGUUUUGAUAGUUUCUUUCUCAUGAAAAUUUUGAAUAAAAGAAACAACAACUUAUUAAUUGGAAAUAAUUAUAAUGCAAUGUCUAAAGAAAUGGACAAUUAUGCCCUUUUUUUUUCACCUUCUAAAGGAUUACAUUCAUGAUGACAAUUAUGCGUUUUUUUUUCACCUUCUAAAGGAUUACAUCCAUGAUGACCUUUUUCCUUCUUUAGAAAUCAUGUUAUAACUACUUUCACGCAUUGCAAAAGAAUUAGUUCUCAAUUUUUCUUUGUUUCAACAUUUUACAAGCAGAUGAAUCCAAAUAAAAUAAGGAAAACUGAACAUCCAAAAAAUUCUAAUGUGUAUAAUUUAAAUAAACGUACCUGAAUCCAACAGAAGUUUCAUGAAAAAAUUGCAUAUUCAAGCAAAUUAAGACUAGGAACAGAGAGAAAGGUUGAAAUCUUUUAAGGAUCAGGAAACGGCUGACUGAUUUGAUGCACUUCCAAAGGAUAGCUCAAUGGAAAAUUUUAGUUAAUUUCAAUUGACAAACAGAGUCAUGGUCUAUGCUUUGAGUAUAAAAAAGUCUUAACAGUCUGUACAAAUAAGUGUAGGGAAUGCCUAGACAAGUCAUUAUACAUGAAACACAAGACAAUGAGGCAAACCUGUGCAGUAUUAAGAGCUACAUUCUUGCAAUCAGGUAAGAUGCUCACAGACCAUGCAGGCAAGUGAUAUGAAUUGCCACUGAAAUUCACAGUAGCAUCAGAAUUGGUGCGCACAUUGGCAAGAAACGCAGCACAUGACCCUGUCCCUGUUUUAUAGACACUGGCCUGAAAUGGGAAUAAGUCCACAUUAAGAAAUAUUUUUGCAUGCAACUCCACAAAUAAAUCUUUGGCAGUGCAAUUAAUAUCAUAUGAUUAUGAUCAGAGCAUUUUGCAUUCUUGAAGCAUCUAAUCAUGGGAAAGAAAUGGUGUUGUCAAACAGUAAGUAUCUAUCCGUCAGGAAGAAGAAACCAUGCACUUCCGGAGUAGAAACUAUGUGCUUCUGUCCUUGAUUAAGGAGUAAAGAGUAUACCUC
rnacentral:lncRNA from 1 species